rnacentral:rRNA from 1 species
UACGUAGGUGGCAAGCGUUGUCCGGAUUUAUUGGGUUUAAAGGGUGCGUAGGCGGCUUUGUAAGUCAGUGGUGAAAUAUGGCAGCUCAACUGUCAGGGUGCCAUUGAUACUGCAGAGCUUGAGUACAGAUGAGGUAGGCGGAAUUGACGGUGUAGCGGUGAAAUGCUUAGAUAUCGUCAAGAACACCGAUAGCGAAGGCAGCUUACUGGGCUGUAAACUGACGCUGAGGCACGAAAGCGUGGGGGAGCGAACAGG